rnacentral:rRNA from 1 species
ACGGGAGGCAGCAGUGGGGAAUAUUGCACAAUGGGCGCAAGCCUGAUGCAGCGACGCCGCGUGAGUGAAGAAGUAUUUCGGUAUGUAAAGCUCUAUCAGCAGGGAAGAAAAUGACGGUACCUGACUAAGAAGCUCCGGCUAAAUACGUGCCAGCAGCCGCGGUAAUACGUAUGGAGCAAGCGUUAUCCGGAUUUACUGGGUGUAAAGGGAGCGUAGACGGGGCAGCAAGUCUGAUGUGAAAUGCGGGGGCUCAACCCCUGAACUGCAUUGGAAACUGUUGACCUUGAGUGCCGGAGAGGUAAGCGGAAUUCCUAGUGUAGCGGUGAGAUGCGUAGAUAUUAGGAGGAACACCAGUGGCGAAGGCGGCUUGCUGGACGACAACUGACGCUGAGGCGCGAAAGCGUGGGGAGCAAACAGGAUUAGAUACCCUGGUA